rnacentral:rRNA from 1 species
GACGAACGCUGGCGGCGUGCUUAACACAUGCAAGUCGAACGGUGAGGCCCUGCUUUUGUGGUGUGCUCGAGUUGCGAACGGGUGAGUAACACGUGAGUAACCUGCCCUUGACUUUGGGAUAACUUCAGGAAACUGGGGCUAAUACCGCAUAGGAGCUCCUGCUGCAUGGUGGGUGUUGGAAAGUUUCGGCGGUUGGGGAUGGACUCGCGGCUUAUCAGCUUUUUGGUGGGGUAGUGGCUUACCAAGGCUUUGACGGGUAGCCGGCCUGAGAGGGUGACCGGCCACAUUGGGACUGAGAUACGGCCAAGACUCCUACGGGAGGCAGCAGUGGGGAAUAUUGCAAAAUGGGCGGAAGCCUGAAGCAGCAACGCCGCGUGCGGGAUGACGGCCUUCGGGUUGUAAACCGCUUUCGCCUGUGACGAAGCGUGAGUGACGGUAAUGGGUAAAGAAGCACCGGCUAACUACGUG